rnacentral:rRNA from 1 species
UUGAUCCUGGCUCAGAACGAAGCUGGCGGCAUGGCUAAAACAUGCAAGUCGCGCGCGAAAGGCCCCUUCGGGGGCCAAGUAGAGCGGCGGAAGGGUGAGGAAUACAUGGGUAACGUACCCCAGGCACAGGGAUAGCCGUGGGAAACCGCGGGUAAUACCUGAUGAGACCACAGUGUCAUAAGGCACAGCGGUCAAAGGGUGGGGACCUUCGGGCCUAUCGGCCUGGGAGCGGCCCAUGUCCUAUCAGCUUGUUGGUGAGGUAAAGGCUCACCAAGGCUACGACGGGUACCGGGACUGAGAGGUCGGCCCGGCACAUUGGGACUGAGACACUGCCCAGACUCCUACGGGAGGCUGCAGUAACGAAUAUUCCGCAACGGGCGAAAGCCUGACGGAGCAAUGCCGCGUGUGGGAUGAAGCUCUUCGGAGUGUAAACCACUGUCAGGAGUCAGCACGCGACGGGAGCUAAUAUCUCCCGAAGCAGAGCAGCUCCGGAGGAAGCCACGGCUAACUUCGUGCCAGCAGCCGCGGUAAUACGAAGGUGGCGAGCGUUGUUCGGAAUCACUGGGCUUAAAGCGCACGCAGGCGGAUGGUCAAGCGUCUUGUGAAAGCCCCCGGCUCAACCGGGGAAUUGCUGGGCGAACUGAUCGUCUUGAGGCAGGUAGGGGCGAGUGGAACUCUUGGUGGAGCGGUGGAAUGCGUAGAUAUCACGAGGAACGCCGGAGGCGAAGGCGACUCGCUGGGCCUGUCCUGACGCUGAGGUGCGAAAGCCCGGGGAGCAAACGGGAUUAGAUACCCCGGUAGUCCUGG